rnacentral:lncRNA from 1 species
ACAAGAAAAGCAAAAGCCGAUUUUCUAAAAUAAGGGACCUCUUUCUUGGCCAAAUCCUUCAAUUAUUCAGAAGGAAUUCCUAAUUUAAUGGUCGAAGAAGGUAGGAAAAAAGAUUGAUCAGAAGAUUGGAGGCUUUUUACCUUCAUCCAGUGAUGCUUUGACAACUUUUUUCAACAAACACAGUAAUGAAAGUAGACUUUGUUUUAAAUGAAAACAAGGGAAAAAGAUGAUGGGAUUGAUCAGCUAGGAGGACAAA